GCCGAAGUGGUGGAAUUGGUAGACACAAGGGACUUAAAAUCCCUCGGUUUUUUAUAAGACCGUGACGGUUCGAGUCCGUCCUUCGGUA
rnacentral:tRNA from 1 species